rnacentral:rRNA from 1 species
AGAUCAGAAUGUUGGUCGCGCCUCUGGUACGUACUGAUUUUAUUGGUUUCUCCCUUCUGACGAACCAUGAUGUCAUUAAUUUGGUGUCGUGGAGAAUCAGGACUGUUACUUUGAAAAAAUUAGAGUGUUUAAAGCAGGCUCACGCUUGAAUACAUUAGCAUGGAAUAAUGAAAUAGGACGUUUGAUUCUAUUUUGUUGGUUUCUAGGAUCGACGUA